rnacentral:rRNA from 1 species
GAUUAAGUUAUUAAGGGCGCACGGUGGAUGCCUUGGCACUAGAAGCCGAUGAAGGACGUUACUAACGACGAUAUGCUUUGGGGAGCUGUAAGUAAGCUUUGAUCCAGAGAUUUCCGAAUGGGGAAACCCAGCAUGAGUUAUGUCAUGUUAUCGAUAUGUGAAUACAUAGCAUAUCAGAAGGCACACCCGGAGAACUGAAACAUCUUAGUACCCGGAGGAAGAGAAAGAAAAUUCGAUUCCCUUAGUAGCGGCGAGCGAAACGGGAAGAGCCCAAACCAACAAGCUUGCUUGUUGGGGUUGUAGGACACUCUAUACGGAGUUACAAAGGACGACAUUAGACGAAUCAUCUGGAAAGAUGAAUCAAAGAAGGUAAUAAUCCUGUAGUCGAAAAUGUUGUCUCUCUUGAGUGGAU